AAUCCAUAGGUUAAUGAGGCGAACCGGGGGAACUGAAACAUCUAAGUACCCCGAGGAAAAGAAAUCAACCGAGAUUCCCCCAGUAGCGGCGAGCGAACGGGGAGGAGCCCAGAGCCUGAAUCAGCAUGUGUGUUAGUGGAAGCGUCUGGAAAGGCGCGCGAUACAGGGUGACAGCCCCGUACACAAAAGCGCAUGUGCUGUGAGCUCGAUGAGUAGGGCGGGACACGUGGUAUCCUGUCUGAAUAUGGGGGGACCAUCCUCCAAGGCUAAAUACUCCUGACUGACCGAUAGUGAACCAGUACCGUGAGGGAAAGGCGAAAAGAACCCCGGCGAGGGGAGUGAAAAAGAACCUGAAACCGUGUACGUACAAGCAGUGGGAGCACCCUUUGGGUGUGACUGCGUACCUUUUGUAUAAUGGGUCAGCGACUUAUAUUCUGUAGCAAGGUUAACCGAAUAGGGGAGCCGGAGGGAAACCGAGUCUUAACCGGGCGUUAAGUUGCAGGGUAUAGACCCGAAACCCGGUGAUCUAGCCAUGGGCAGGUUGAAGGUUGGGUAACACUAACUGGAGGACCGAACCGACUAAUGUUGAAAAAUUAGCGGAUGACCUGUGGCUGGGGGUGAAAGGCCAAUCAAACCGGGAGAUAGCUGGUUCUCCCCGAAAGCUAUUUAGGUAGCGCCUCGUGAAUUCAUCUCCGGGGGUAGAGCACUGUUUCGGCUAGGGGGCCAUCCCGGCUUACCAACCCGAUGCAAACUGCGAAUACCGGAGAAUGUUAUCACGGGAGACACACGGCGGGUGCUAACGUCCGUCGUGAAGAGGGAAACAACCCAGACCGCCAGCUAAGGUCCCAAAGUCAUGGUUAAGUGGGAAACGAUGUGGGAAGGCCCAGACAGCCAGGAUGUUGGCUUAGAAGCAGCCAUCAUUUAAAGAAAGCGUAAUAGCUCACUGGUCGAGUCGGCCUGCGCGGAAGAUGUAACGGGGCUAAACCAUGCACCGAAGCUGCGGCAGCGACACUGUGUGUUGUUGGGUAGGG
rnacentral:rRNA from 3 species